rnacentral:rRNA from 1 species
AGUGAACGUUGGCGGCGUGGAUUAGGCAUGCAAGUCGAGCGAGAACCGUAGCAAUACGGGGACAGCGGCGAAAGGGACAGUAAUGUGUAGGUACCUACCCCCGGGUUCGGGAUAGCUGCGGGAAACUGCAGGUAAUACCGAAUAAUGUCUCCGGACCAAAGGUGUGAUUCCACCUGGGGAGGGGCCUGCAUCCUAUUAGCUUGUUGGUGGGGUAACGGCCUACCAAGGCGACGAUGGGUAGCGGGUGUGAGAGCAUGACCCGCGUCAUUGGGUUUGAGACACUGCCCAGACACCUACGGGUGGCUGCAGUCGAGAAUCUUCGGCAAUGGGCGCAAGCCUGACCGAGCGACGCCGCGUGCGGGAUGAAGGCCUUCGGGUUGUAAACCGCUGUCGUAGAGGAGGAAAUGCAGGGGGGUUCUCCCCUUUGCUUGACCUAUUCUAGGAGGAAGUACGGGCUAAGUUCGUGCCAGCCGCCGCAGUAA